UGGGGAAUAUUGCACAAUGGGCGCAAGCCUGAUGCAGCCAUGCCGCGUGUAUGAAGAAGGCCUUCGGGUUGUAAAGUACUUUCAGCGAGGAGGAAGGCGGUAAGGUUAAUAACCUUAUCGAUUGACGUUACUCGCAGAAGAAGCACCGGCUAACUCCGUGCCAGCAGCCGCGGUAAUACGGAGGGUGCAAGCGUUAAUCGGAAUUACUGGGCGUAAAGCGAACGCAGGCGGUCUGUCAAGUCGGAUGUGAAAUCCCCGGGCUCAACCUGGGAACUGCAUUCGAAACUGGCAGGCUAGAGUCUUGUAGAGGGGGGUAGAAUUCCAGGUGUAGCGGUGAAAUGCGUAGAGAUCUGGAGGAAUACCGGUGGCGAAGGCGGCCCCCUGGACAAAGACUGACGCUCAGGUGCGAAAGCGUGGGGAGCAAACA
rnacentral:rRNA from 1 species